rnacentral:rRNA from 1 species
CUCGGAGGGAUCAUUACCGAGUUUACAACUCCCAAACCCAAUGUGAACGUUACCAAACUGUUGCCUCGGCGGGGUCACGCCCCGGGUGCGUCGCAGCCCCGGAACCAGGCGCCCGCCGGAGGAACCAACCAAACUCUUUCUGUAGUCCCCUCGCGGACGUAUUUCUUUACAGCUCUGAGCAAAAAUUCAAAAUGAAUCAAAACUUUCAACAACGGAUCUCUUGGUUCUGGCAUCGAUGAAGAACGCAGCGAAAUGCGAUAAGUAAUGUGAAUUGCAGAAUUCAGUGAAUCAUCGAAUCUUUGAACGCACAUUGCGCCCGCCAGUAUUCUGGCGGGCAUGCCUGUCCGAGCGUCAUUUCAACCCUCGAACCCCUCCGGGGGAUCGGCGUUGGGGAUCGGGACCCCUCACACGGGUGCCGGCCCCUAAAUACAGUGGCGGUCUCGCCGCAGCCUCUCCUGCGCAGUAGUUUGCACAACUCGCACCGGGAGCGCGGCGCGUCCACGUCCGUAAAACACCCAACUUUCUGAAAUGUUGACCUCGGAUCAGGUAGGAAUACCCGCG